GCAGGCGAGAAAACUUUGCGAUGUGCGAAAGCACGACAAGGUUAAUCCGAGUGGUUUCUGCUAAAGGAACCUUUUGUCAGUCCUAGAAACACUGAUGAAUAAGGGGUGGGCAAGUUCUGGUGUCAGCCGCCGCGGUAAAACCAGCACCUCAAGUGGUCAGGAUGAUUAUUGGGCCUAAAGCAUCCGUAGCCGGCUCUGUAAGUUUUCGGUUAAAUCUGUACGCUCAACGUACAGGCUGCCGGGAAUACUGCAGAGCUAGGGAGUGGGAGAGGUAGACGGUACUCGGUAGGAAGGGGUAAAAUCCUUUGAUCUAUUGAUGACCACCUGUGGCGAAGGCGGUCUACCAGAACACGUCCGACGGUGAGGGAUGAAAGCUGGGGGAGCAAACCGGAUUAGAUACCCGGGUAGUCCCAGCUGUAAACUAUGCAAACUCAGUGAUGCAUUGGCUUGUGGCCAAUGCAGUGCUGCAGGGAAGCCGUUAAGUUUGCCGCCUGGGAAGUACGUACGCAAGUAUGAAACUUAAAGGAAUUGGCGGGGGAGCACCACAAGGGGUGAAGCCUGCGGUUCAAUUGGAGUCAACGCCAGAAAUCUUACCCGGAGAGACAGCAGAAUGAAGGUCAAGCUGAAGACUUUACCAGACAAGCUGAGAGGUGGUGCAUGGCCGUCGCCAGCUCGUGCCGUGAGAUGUCCUGUUAAGUCAGGUAACGAGCGAGAUCCCUGCCUCUAGUUGCCACCAUUACUCUCAGGAGUAGUGGGGCGAAUUAGCGGGACCGCCGCAGUUAAUGCGGAGGAAGGAAGGGGCCACGGCAGGUCAGUAUGCCCCGAAACUCUGGGGCCACACGCGGGCUGCAAUGGUAACGACAAUUGGUUUCAAAUCCGAAAGGAUGAGGUAAUCCUCAAACGUUACCACAGUUAUGACUGAGGGCUGCAACUCGCCCUCACGAAUAUGGAAUCCCUAGUAACUGCGUGUCAUUAUCGCGCGGUGAAUACGUCCCUGCUCCUUGCACACACCGCCCGUCGUUUCAUUGAAGUGAGCUUUUAGCGAGGUGACGUCUAAUUGGCGUUAUCGAACUUGAGGUUCGUGACAAGGGAAAAGUCGUAACAAGGUAACC
rnacentral:rRNA from 1 species